GUUUAAUUUUUAAAAUGGUAUUUCUGCAAAAACAAAACUUUAUAUGAUAGAUUAUUUCUUUCUGUUUUAGGGAACAGACUUGGAGAACUGGAAGAUGAAAGCUCCUAUUCCUCACUUAAUCCUCUUGUAUGCUACUCUUGUUCAGAGUUUGAAGGUUGUGACCAAAAGAGGCUCAGACCAAUCUUUAAAGCCCCAUGAAAAUGCAUCUUAUGAAAAAGACUUUUUGAUUCUGGAAAUGAACACAUCCUUUCCCCCUGCCCGCUUUAUUCCAGGUCAGUUUAGUUUCUGCUCACAAAUCAUUUUCAUCUGAAAAACAAAAAACUCCAAUAGGAACAUAAAAGUGUAAAAAAU
rnacentral:lncRNA from 11 species